CAAGUUAACAACAGCAAAAUAACUCAGAAGUGUCUUGAUGUAGCAAAUGAGUGUGAUCUGACCAUCAACGAUGGGAAAGUAGCCUCUCUUGAGAGUUUUAGACUUUUUUCAGAGAUAGCAUGUCGCAGAUGCAAGAAACUGUUCAUGCAUGGAGUAGUAAGUCCAAUUCUUUUCUUCUACUCACUGCAUGUGCGGCAGGGGAGGUGGUGGCACAUGGCUAUAAUACCAGCACUGGGGAGGCUGAGACGGCAGGACCUUCACAGGUUCAAGGCCAGCUGAACAACAUAGUGAGACCUUGUCUCAAACAAACAAAAAACAAAUAAACAAAAAUUAGCUUGUAGGAAAUUCAGUAAUAUUUCCAUUGCUUUCUGGACUUUCACCUUCUGUAUUUGGCUUUCAUGACAUAUUCUGCAGAUCCACUACAAUCAGCUUAAUUAAUUGUAUUUUAUGACUUUGGGUCAGAAUGCCAGAAUUUCUGUGCCAAUUUUAUUGUACUCAUUGAAACCUCAAGAGUAUAUUUCAGAUAUUGGCUUUCAGACCUUUCUUUUUGAAUACGUUGCUAUUUACUUACCAUGUGCCAAAGCCACCAUGUCAAUGUAAUUGAAAACAAGCAAGAAGGAAACUGGAUGGCUCAGAUGAAUGGAAAUGUGAUACAGACCCUUCCACCCACAACCCACUGGCUGGAAUCCAGGAGAGGCUGACGGGGAUGAAAAGUAAUCACCAUCUGAUGGCUGGACAAUGGUCUGUGCGAAAUGAGCUGGUUAUCUCAAGUCCAGUUCCUCAUCGACAGGUGUUCAUGUUGCAGUUUCUACCGUCAGUGACAGUAGCCCAGGAUGUGAAUGAGAGACCAAAGCUACCUUCUCUUUCAUUUGAGCUUGCUGCCCAUUUCUGACACAAGGAAACUUGGGCUUCUGCCCUGAACUUUAUAGUAGGCACGGAGGGUAUGCAUACCGCAGUGUAACUUCUUGCACAUGUAUAGGUGAUAAUGACUUCCUAAAAAAUAAACAACUCGCCUACAAAUUUUCAAAGACCACCUGAAGCACAGCUUCAAAUCACAGCAAUUGCUUCCUGUGGCAACUGUAUUGUACUGCAAGGCAUUCGGAACAGGCCUGUCUUUUAGCUUUAUAGAAUGCAAGGUUUCAACGGACGCAUUUAUAGAAGUGAUGACUUAGCGGGUCCCCAUCCGACCCCUCGCACAGCUUAGAAUUACUCUCCAAACCGAGGGGCUACAAGGACACACAGCCAAAUAGUGGAGAGGAGGUGGAGUGGAUAUGACUCUGAACUAGUGACCCAGUCGACACGGGAAGUUCUUCUUGGUUCCGAACCAGGAUGACCUAUCACUUGAUCACAGCCAACAGCUCACCAUCCCUCCUCCCCAAAGGCCAACCCAAGUCCCUGAGCCCAGCCCAGAAGCAGGGAGAAGAGCACAGAGGUGGCUGUCAGCUCCAAGGUGCACCCAAGCAUCCUGGCAUGGGGGAUUUAAAGCCUUCUUAAUACAUCCAUAAUUUAUUUUAUUAUUUUUAUUUUACUCUUUUGCCUUUUAAUUGUGAUAAAAAUAAAUUUUACCAUG